UGUUGGGGAAUGUGUUAAUUGUAGGGGUGCCCAUGGAGCUGGGAAUCAGAAAUGUCCCAUGCGAAAGAGGCAGGUUGAGGUUUCCAGGGUUAGAGUAGUGCAGAAGUUGUCAUAUGCUGAGGCAGUGAAGAAAGUAGAGGAAGAUGUGUUAAGGGGUAGGAGUGGUGAGAGUAGUAGAGACAUACCAAUACAGAGUAAGAUUGGAUUUUUAACAUUUAUAGAAAUGGUUACCAAUUGUACUGCAGGGAUGGACCGGAAGUCUCGGAAAAUUGAGUUUGUGUUGGCAGCGGCAGAGAGGUAUUUGGGUGUGCGACACUUGACAUCAGAGGAGUUACAGGAUGUGUUAAGUGGCGAUGUCCCAUCCUUUCAGGAUGAUGGCAUGAGGUAGGAAUAAAUACAUUUAAUUAGUGGAGUAGGGUAGUGUUAAUUUUAUAUAAUUUUUAAAUUAGUGAGUAGUGUUAGAUGGUAGGGUAUUUAUUUAGUACAUUUUUUUUUUCAAGUAUAAGUAGGUGGCGGUAAUGCAACAAAUUGGAUGCAAACCGCCGUUUAAACCUCAGAAGAAGAAAUUGUGCCUUGUACUAACAGGUACAUUUCAUGUGUUGAAUGUACCACAUUGUAGCCCCUCCCACCUCAAUUUCCGUGAGUUUGUUGCGAUUUUACCAGGAGAACAGGCUAGCUCCCUGCAGAAUCUAGACAAUAGAGAAUGGGGAAUAAGAUCUGGCUGUUGCAGUGCCCAGACGAGGUGAGCGCAAACUGCUACAUAGAUAAAAAGGAAUCUCUAAAUGCUAUGUUGAAUGAGCGCCGCGGAUGAAGGACAGGGAGGAAAACGGACAACUUCUUUCUACCACACCUUCCAAGUCAUACAAUGUUUGCUUCAUGAACAAUUGUUACAUCAGAAAUAAAUACAGAACUAUUUUAGUUUAUUCUGUUUCUGUUUUUUAUGCUGGAUGUGAGUAAUUUAGCAGGUCUAUAGUAUAAUGUAUUGUUUUUAAACAUUAAAUAUCUAUUCAGUCAAAACUCACUUAUUUUAUGUUUGCUAAAAUGUGUUUUCUACUGUUACUUUUUACAUACUGAUACAGUCUCAUUUGUUUUGAGCUAGACUAUGAGUUGGAAAUGUGUACUGUAAAUGUCUACUACCCUGUUUAAAGAUUUUAUGAUUGAAAUUAGCACAGUUUUUUUAAUAGUUUGUUUCUACUGUCUGGUGAGGAAGUGGGCAAUAUGGAUACAUUGGAGGAGGAAGGGAGAAUUAAUGACAAAUCAGAACUUGGACAAUGUCAGGGAAUCAAUAGGUAAAUGUACAGCCUAUCAAUGACAAAAUUAACGGGUUCAGAGGUAGCUGUCAUGUCUGGCAUCAUUAAAGUGAAAAUGUAUUUUAUCAAA